rnacentral:lncRNA from 1 species
CUUUUUGGCCACACCUGCAGCAUGAGGAAGUUCUCAGGCCAAGGAUCAAAUCCACACCACAACAGCGACCUAAACCACAGCAGAUAACACCACAACCCCAGCUCUUUAACCCACUAAGCCACAGAAGAACUCCAAGGAUGAGUUUCAAACAUCACAUCCCUAAAUACUUUAGCAGCACACAUCUCUUAAGAACAAGGCUAUUUUCUUACAUAUCCUUAGAACAACUACUAAAGUAAGGAAAUGCAACUGAUGUACACGAUUAUCUAAAGUCUGGUCUAUAUUCAAAUCUUGCCUUUUGUCCUAUACUGUCUUAUAGCAUUUUUUUCCCCUGAUGCAGUAUCCAAUCCAGAAUUACACAUGGUUAGUUGUCUUGGCUCUUUAGUCUCUUUUAUUUUUAUUUAUUUAUUUAUUUUUGUCUUUUUGCCAUUUCUUGGGCUGCUCUCAGGGCAUAUGGAGGUUCCCAGGUUAGGGGUCUAAUCAGAGCUGUAGCCACCCGCCUACGCCAGAGCCACAGCAAUUCGGGAUCCGAGCUGUGUCUGCAACCCACAUCACAGCUCACGGCAACAGGCACAGGAUGUCAUGUGGUCCCAUUGUUGGUGAUGUUAACAUUGGUCACUUGGUUAGUGUGGUCCCUGCAGAUCUAUCAUUUGUAAAGGUUACUUUUUUCCCUCCAAAAUUAAUGCUCAAUGGGGAGAUGCUUUGAGACUGUCUCCACCCCACCCCACCAUAAACUGUUGCCCAAUAGUUUAGCAUCCAUUGAUGUUUCUUUCCAGGAUCAACAAUCACUAUGACAGUUGCAAAAUGGAGUUGAUGCCUCUCUACAUCUAGAAUCAACUGCUAUUUAUUAUCUUAUUUUACAGAUAAACCAUCGAGACUCUGAACGUCAAGUACGUUGUCCAAGGCCACAAAGCAGUGAGAUUCAGAUUCAGGCCUGUCUGACUCCAGAGCAUGUGCUUUUGCCCUUCUUCCAUCCUGCUGCCAUGCUGCCCCUCCAAGCCAUCAGCCGUGGGAGGUGAUGAGAUGUUCUGCCCCACUGAACACUCUUACUUCCUUGCUCCUUUCCCUACAUUUGAGGCUGAUGGAAAGAAAUGGACCAUAGGGUCAUUUUUGCAGCCCCCAUGUCCUCGCCUUUCCCUCUUAGUCCCCUCAUGAUCCUCCCACAACUGAUAUCCAGAGCAGAAAUCUCACAAAGAUGUCACCUCAAAGGGGAGAAGGAAGGGGGGAUGCCCAAAUUAGGGGCAUGGGAUUAAGAGAUACAAACUACUGUAUAUAAAACAGAUAAGCAACAAGGAUGGAUCAUAUAGCACAGAGAAUCAUACCCAUUAUCUUGUAAUAACCUAUGAUAGAAUAUAAUCUGCAAAAAUGUUGAAGCACUAUGCUAUACACCUGACACUAACGCAAUAUUUUAUUUUUCUUUUUAUGGCCACACCUGUGAAAUAUGGAUGUUGCCAGGCUAGGGGUCAAAUCAGAGCUGAAGCUGCCAGCCAUAGCCACAGCCACAGCAAUGCCAGAUCUGAGCCGCGUCUGCAACCUACACCACAGAUCAUGGCAAUACCGGAUCCUUGACCCACUGAGCAAGGCCAGGGAUCGAACCUGCGUCCUCAUGGACACUAUGUCGGGUUCAUAACCUGCUGAGCCACAAUGGGAACUCCAAUACAAUAUUUUAAAUCAACUAUAUUUCAACAAAAAAAGAAGUUACCUCCAUUAUCCUGCCCCUUUCCCCCCCCACACACACACCCCAAGAACUAAGAGGCUCUCUCCUCUCCUGAUGUUGGAGAAGAGGGAGGGUAAAUGUGGGAUGAACCAGGCUUUGUGCUGUGCAUAAGAAGUGCUUAUGGAACCCUCCUACACUGUUGCUGGGAUUGUAAAUUGGUGCAGCCACUGUGGAAAAUAAGAUGGAGUUUCCUCACAAAACUAAAAAUAGAAAUACUGUAUGAUCCAGCAGUCCCACUCCAGGGCAUAUAUUCAGAAAAGAUGAAAACACUAAUUUGAAAAGACGCAUGCACCCCUAUGUUCAUAGCAGCACUAUUUACAAUAGCCAAGACAUGGAAGCAACCUAAAUGUUCAUUAACAGAUGACAAUAAAGAAGAUAUGGUACAUAUAUACAAUGGAAUAUUACUCAGCCAUUGAAAAGAAUGAAAUAAUGCCAUUUGCAGCAACAUGGAUGACGUAGAGAUUAUCAUCCUAAGUGAAAUAAGUCAGAAAGACAAAUACCAUAUAUUACUUAUAUGUGAGAUCUAAAAUAUGACACAAAUCAACAUAUCUACCAAAUAAAAACAGACUCAGAAAUAUAGAGAACAGACUUGUGGUUGCCAAGGGGGAGGAGGGUGAGGGAGGGAAGGAUUGGGAGUUUGGAAUUAGCAGAGGCAAACUACUGCACAUAGGAUAAUAAGCAAUAAGGGCCUACUGUAUGGCACAGGGACCUAUAUUCAAUAUUCUGUGAUAAACCAUAAUGGA